rnacentral:rRNA from 1 species
UACGGAGGGUGCAAGCGUUAUCCGGAUUCACUGGGUUUAAAGGGUGCGUAGGUGGGUAAGUAAGUCAGUGGUGAAAUCUCCGGGCUUAACCCGGAAACUGCCAUUGAUACUAUUUGUCCUGAAUACUGUGGAGGUCAGCGGAAUAUGUCAUGUAGCGGUGAAAUGCUUAGAUAUGACAUAGAACACCAAUUGCGAAGGCAGCUGGCUACACAAAUAUUGACACUGAGGCACGAAAGCGUGGGGAUCAAACAGG